rnacentral:rRNA from 1 species
UAAUACGUAGGGGGCGAGCGUUAUCCGGAAUUAUUGGGCGUAAAGCGUACGUAGGCGGUUUGUUAAGUCACUUGUAAAAGAUCUCAGCCCAACUGAGUAGGGCGAGUGAAACUGGCAGACUUGAAUACGGUAGAGGUAAGUGGAAUUCCAUGUGUAGCGGUGGAAUGCGUAGAUAUAUGGAGGAACACCAAUGGCGAAGGCAACUUACUGGGCCGGAAUUGACGCUGAGGUACGAAAGCGUGGGGAGCAAACAGGAUUAGAUACCCUGGUAGUCCACGCCGUAAACGAUGAGAGCUAAGUGUUGGGGUAAAACUCAGUGCUGAAGUUAACGCAUUAAGCUCUCCGCCUGGGUAGUACGAUCGCAAGAUUG